rnacentral:rRNA from 1 species
UUUUUCGAGAGUUUGAUCCUGGCUCAGAACGAACGCUGGCGGCGUGCUUAACACAUGCAAGUCGUACGAGAAAGUCUCUUCGGAGAUGAGUAAAGUGGCGCACGGGUGAGUAACACGUAGGUAACCUACCUCAGGGACCGGGACAACCUACCGAAAGGUGGGCUAAUACCGGAUCAGACCACGGGGGCUUCGGCCCCAGCGGCAAAAGUUGGCCUCUGCGUGCAAGCUAACACCAUGAGAUGGGCCUGCGGACCAUUAGCUUGUUGGUGGGGUAAUGGCCUACCAAGGCUGAGAUGGAUAGCUGGUCUGAGAGGAUGAUCAGCCACACUGGGACUGAGACACGGCCCAGAC